UGGAGCCAACCUUGAAAUACCACCCUGGCAACUUUGAGGUUCUAACUCAGGUCCGUUAUCCGGAUCGAGGACAGUGUAUGGUGGGUAGUUUGACUGGGGCGGUCUCCUCCCAAAGAGUAACGGAGGAGUACGAAGGUGCGCUCAGACCGGUCGGAAAUCGGUCGUAGAGUAUAAAGGCAAAAGCGCGCUUGACUGCGAGACCCACACGUCGAGCAGGUACGAAAGUAGGUCUUAGUGAUCCGGUGGUUCUGUAUGGAAGGGCCAUCGCUCAACGGAUAAAAGGUACUCCGGGGAUAACAGGCUGAUACCGCCCAAGAGUUCAUAUCGACGGCGGUGUUUGGCACCUCGAUGUCGGCUCAUCACAUCCUGGGGCUGAAGCCGGUCCCAAGGGUAUGGCUGUUCGCCAUUUAAAGUGGUACGCGAGCUGGGUUUAGAACGUCGUGAGACAGUUCGGUCCCUAUCUGCCGUGGACGUUUGAGAUUUGAGAGGGGCUGCUCCUAGUACGAGAGGACCGGAGUGGACGAACCUCUGGUGUUCCGGUUGUCACGCCAGUGGCAUUGCCGGGUAGCUAUGUUCGGAAAAGAUAACCGCUGAAAGCAUCUAAGCGGGAAACUUGCCUCAAGAUGAGAUCUCACUGGGACCUUGAGUCCCCUGAAGGGCCGUCGAAGACUACGACGUUGAUAGGUUGGGUGUGUAAGCGCUGUGAGGCGUUGAGCUAACCAAUACUAAUUGCCCGUGAGGCUUGACCAU
rnacentral:rRNA from 1 species